GCCUGCAGCGAGGAUGAUUCCCUGAGGAUGACGUUGCUGCAGGAUUUGGUGAAACGGCCCCCGCCCUGGAGCAAGUCCAAAUACCGGGAUCGGUUGCCCAGGACCGCCCGGAGGUAGGACGCUAAGACGAAUGCCGCCUGAAACAGAAGAGGGAUUACUACCCACACCU
rnacentral:RNase_P_RNA from 1 species